ACGCACUGAGUUUUCUUAUACUUAAGUAGGCAUUUUGCUUAAAUGAAUAAUCAUUUAUUAACAAAUCUUUUGUGGUGUAACAUGGGAAAAUGUUUGGAAGGCUUUGGAUGAUGUCAGUGUUGGAGAUAUCUAUGCCACAACAUAUACAGCUUUAUGGACCCUGCUUGGUUUUACCUUCAUGUUACCUGUCAAACAACUGCUUAUAUUAGUUCCAAUGAUGCGAUUCCAAAGAGUGAUGUUAAUAGGGAAUAUUUUGCUGAAGAACAUGAACGCAAGGCUAGAACUGGUCUAGAUUAGGCAUCCUCUUUUGGUAAAGCGCGCCCAAUGAUGCUAUCUUGAAGCUUCAAAGAACAAAACGUUAUUACAACAUGUACUUGGUUCCUUUGUCGCCGUUCUCCCUAAUAACAUGUUGUGUGUCAAUAUAACAACACUUUUUUCAAACUGCAAAGUCAACAUGGUUAUUCUAAUUCUUUGUUUCCUUCUGCAUAGGGCUAUGCUCAUGCAUAUUUGUUUUUGGUGAAAUGGGAAAACAUAAUUUUGCCUUUUUGUAAUAGUUUGUUUGUAAUUUUCUACUUGCCUUAGCCUGCUUGCAGUGAGUUUUUUUGGACAUGUAUGAAGAAAGAUGCCUUGAGUCUGCUUGCUACCUUAAUGCCAUUUGCCGAAAAACAUGUAUUCAACUUAAUGUGAUGAUAAACUUCUGCUUCCCAUGUUUUUAAUCCAUCAUGAGCUAAUUAGUGAGAAAAGUAUCAAAAGCUAUUAAAAGUUAAAAUAUUUCUUUUGUAACUACUGAUUCUAGAAACUUUCAUUUGUUUAUUGCUUCUUGCUUUUAACAUUGUUUUUAAUGAAAAACAUUUGUUGACCACACCUUUGAAUUGCAGGGUGAAUGAUACAAGCAAACAACAAACUACACGCAAUGCGAUGUGUGCAGAGAUUCAGCAUGACAAUGAAAUCAAUCAAAAACCAAUCGUUGAUGAGUGUUGCUGAGUUCUUCACAUGUUCGGAGAUGACGGUUUUUCCUGUGAUAUUUAUCAGAAUCGUUGUUGUUGAGCUAUUGGUCGGUGUAUGAAUCUUUUCAAAAAGUCGCGGAAAGAUGAAUAAGUUUGUAUGAAGCUCAGUUGUUGCGAUUGUCGUGAACGGUGAUGUUGCAGGUCGCUAAUUAUUGUUAUUAAGAUAUUUGUAAGUUUAAUGAAGGUGAUGGAAGGGAGUUGAAGUCUACAAGUUUUUGAACAAUGAAGGAAGAUGGUAAUAUGCGGACGUUAUUAUAGGUACUAACACAUCCUCCUUCCGUCACAUCACGACUGAAGUUAGUCCUGAUAAUAACUAUUGCCCUAUCAUCAAUUUUCUUUCUCUUCCAUACGUAAACCUCUCCUUCUUAGACCAUUGGGAUUAUCAGGAAUAUUUAACUGUUAUGAGAUGUGAAAAAUCUAUACAUCAUUUCGGCUAUAUGGAUAUUUCUUCAGAGAGCUGUGGCGGAAGUGAAAUUGAUGGCGAGAAAAAGCAAUAUUUGUAGAUUUAUUUUUUGCAUCAUGGUUUAUUGUUGGAAACAUAUGGAUAUUUAGAUCUCCAAACUUAUACCGGUUAUGUGUAGUGUUUCUUACUUUUAGCUGCAUCGAUUACGCAUUGCCCUUCAUUUUAUGCUUAACAAUCUGCUGUUGUCUUCCCUGUAUAAUUUCCACUCAUGGGGUCAAUGAGGAUAUGGCACAAACCAGAGGUGCAACCUUCAAAUGCAUUGAUGCUUUACCAACUCACAAGUCCAAAUUGAGGAAAAGAAAAAGCAUAGAUGAAAACACUCCAACUGUUAUUGAAGGUGGAGUUGUUUCCGGAGGAACCGAAAAGGAACGCGUGAUCUCCAGAGAAGAUGCAGUAAGUAUAAAGUGAUUUUUAAUUCUUCUCGAUCCUUAAGUAAAAAUCGUGCCAUUUAUGUUGUUCUUUCAAGACACAGAGCCAGGUAGAAACCUUUAUCUGACAGUAGAAUCUUAAGAAUAUUUUGUCAUAUUGAUAUAUGUCCAUUUCACGAGGCAGUGAACUUCAAUUUGGUGUCAAUGCAAUGUCAUUAACUUUUGAUAAUUGUUCAAAACAUGAUCCAUGGUUGUGAAGGUAUCUGACAGAGAAAUUUCCACUAAUGGCACAGAAUACUGAGGUUAAUGAUAAUGGAAGAGAGAACAAAACCAACCAAAAAUUUUCAUUCUACAAACUCUUCACUUAUGCAGAUGCUCUUGAUGUGAGUGGUCUUGAUCGUUGGCAAUAUCUCUGCCAUUGCUAAUGGAAUGUCACAACCUAUCAUGACUCUUAUCCUUGGCAGAAUCAUCAACGCCUUUGGUAAUAGUGAUCCACACAAUACUCUCAAGGAAGUUUCUAAGGCUUCAUUGUUAUUUGUUUACCUCGCUGUUGGGACCGGAAUCGUAUCUUUCCUACAGGUAUCGUGUUGGAUGGUGACAGGAGAAAGACAAGUUGCGAGGAUUCGUAGUUUGUACUUGAAAACAAUAUUGAAACAGGAUAUUGCGUUUUUCGACACUGAAAUAAACACAGGAGAAGUAAUAAUUGGUAGAAUGUCUGGUGAAACAAUUCUCAUUCAACAUGCAACGGGAGAAAAGAUUGGCAAGUUUACUCAACUUGCUACAUCAUUUUUUGGUGGCUUUGUGGUUGUUUUCAUAAAAGGAUGGAGACUAGCUUUAGUUUUGCUUGCAUAUGUUGACUAGAUUUCGUGUUUUUAUGGUGAAUAUCUUGGCCUCUUCCAUUUCAUUUUUAGUAUCAGCUUCUGUAGAAUGCCUUCAUUGAGGGAGAGGAUGUAUAUGUAAUAUUAGUAAGUUGUGUUGUGAUUGAAAUGGUUGGUUAAGAAGUGUUGAAAUCUAUAAUCUCUUCUUUAGUCAUCACUAGCAUGAGUAUAACUUUAUUAGUAUCAACUUUCCAAU